UGAACAAGGGCUUAUGCGGGAUUGCUUGGCAUUUAGAGUCGAAGAAGGGCGUAGAAAUUAACGAUAUGCUUUAGGGAGCUAAAGACGAGCUUUAAUCUAAAGAUUCCCGAUGGGGCAACCUAUUACUUUAACAUUACAAUGAAAUGGUAUACAAAUAAUGUAGAGAACUUGGUGAACUGAAACAUCUUAGUAGCCGAAGGAAAAGAAAGCAAAAGCGAUUUUCUUAUUAGUGGCGAGCUAACGGAAAUCAGCCUAAACCUUUAUGGGUGUUGUGGGUAUAUUAUAAUUACUGAAAAAGAUAGAGAAUUUGUUGAAAACAAAAUCAAAGAGGGUUUUAAAUCCCGUAUUUGUUUUUAAAAAGUAAUUUUUGAUUUUCCCGAGUAGCAUAGAGCACGUGGAAUUCUGUGUGAAUCAGCGAGGACCAUCUCGUAAGGCUAAAUACUCCUAAAUGACCGAUAGUGUACGAGUACCGUGAGGGAAAGCUGAAAUAGAACACUGAGAAGUGAGUGAAAUAGAAUAUGAAAGCAUAAGUUUACAAGCAGUAGGAGAUCUAUUUAAAGAUUGACUGUGUGCCUGUUGAAGAAUGAGCCGGCGACUUAUAGGUGAUGGCAAGGUUAAGGUUUUUCCGGAGCCAUAGCUGAAAUCGAGCUUAAAUAAAGCGAAAAACUUUCUUCUUGAAAGUUUAUGUCAUUGCUUAUAGACCCGAACCCAGGUGAUCUAAUCAUGGUCAGGUUGAAGUUUUGGUAAAACAGAAUGGAGGACUGAACCCACCAAUGUUGAAAAAUUGGGGGAUGAACUGUGAUUAGGGGAGAAAUUCCAUCGAACUUGGAGCUAGCUGGAUCUCUUCGAAAUGCGGUUGGAGGCGCAGCGUUUAAUUAUGGUAAACAUUAGGGGUAAAGCACUGUUUCGAUGCGGGCUAUGAAAAUGGUACCAAGUUGUGGCAAACUCUGAAUACUAAGUUAUAUUUCAAUUAAUCAGUGAGACAGUGGGGGAUAAGCUUCAUUGUCAAGAGGGAAACAGCCCAGAUCACUACUUAAGGCCCCUAAAUAAUUACCUAAGUGGUAAACCAUGUACUAUUACAUAGACAACCAGGAGGUUGGCUUAGAAGCAGCCAUUCCUUUAAAAAGUGCGUAAUAGCUUACUGGUCAAGUGAUAGUGCGCCGAAAAUGAACGGGACUAAGUAAUUUGCCGAAGGUGUGAGAGAAAUCGGUAGAAGAGCGUUCUGUGUUGAAGAGAAGGAAUAGUGAAAAUAGUUCUGGAUUAAACAGAAGUGAGAAUGUCGGCUUAAGUAACGAAAACAUUGGUGAAAAUCCUAUGCUCCGAAAACCUAAGGUUUCCUUAGCCAGGUUCGUCCUCUAAGGGUUAGUCAGGUCCUAAAAUAAGGUUUAACAACGUAAAUUGAUGGAUGACAGGUUAAUAUUCCUGUACCGAAUGCUCACUUGUAAGGAGUGACGAAAAAGGCUAGAUCGGCCACGUGAUGGUUUGUGGUUUAAGGGUUCAAGAGGUAUCAAAUAUUAAAAAAAAUAUUUUGUCUUAAGGCCUGAAUAGUAUAAAUACUACGGUAUUGAAAGUGAUUGAUGUCAUGUUUCCAAGAAAAACUUUUGUUUAUGUAUAGUGAGCUCGCCUGUACCGUAAACUGACACAGGUAGGUUAGUAGAAUAUACUAAGGAGCGCGAGAUAACUCUUUCUAAGGAACUCGGCAAAAUGACUUCGUAACUUCGGAAGAAGAAGUACCUCUAAUGAGGUGGCAGAAAAGAGGUCCAAGCGACUGCUUACCAAAAGCACAGGUCUCCGCGAAGUUGAAAAACGAUGUAUGGGGGCCGAGGCCUGCUCAGUGCAGGAAGGUUAAAGAAAUUGGUUAGCGUAAGCAAAGCUAGUGACUGAAGCCCCUGUGAACAGCGGCAAUAACUAUAAUUGUCCUAAGGUAGCGAAAUUCCUUGUCGGGUAAGUUCCGACCCGCACGAAAGGCUUAACGAUUUGGACACUGUCUCAGAAAGAGACUCGGUGAAAUAGAAUUGACUGUGAAGAUGCGGUCUACUUGCACUUGGACAGAAAGACCCUAUGAAGCUUUACUGUAUCCUGAAAUUGGUUUCGGGCUUUUUUUGCGCAGAAUAGGUGAGAGGCUAUGAUCUUGUCUUUUGGGAUACGGGGAGCCGAAAAAUGAGAUACCACUCUGAGAAAGCUAGAAAUCUAAUCUUAAUCUUAUGUACAAUCAUGAUAAUUGACAGUUUCAGGUGGGCAGUUUUACUGGGGCGGUAGCCUCCUAAAAAGUAACGGAGGCGUACAAAGGUUUUCUCAGGCUAGACGGAAAUUAGUUGUGGAGUGUAAAGGCAUAAGAAAGCUUGACUGUGAGACUUAUAAGUCAAACAGAGACUAAAGUCGGUCUUAGUGACCCGACGGUGCUGUAUGGAAAGGCCGUCGUAAACAGAUAAAAGUUACUCUAGGGAUAACAGGCUGAUCUCCCCCAAGAGUUCACAUCGACGGGGAGGUUUGGCACCUCGAUGUCGGCUCAUCGCAACCUGGGGCGGUAGUACGUCCCAAGGGUUGGGCUGUUCGCCCAUUAAAGCGGUACGUGAGCUGGGUUCAGAACGUCGAGAGACAGUUCGGUCCAUAUCCGGUGUGAGCGUUAGAGUAUUGAAAGGCGCUUUCCUUAGUACGAGAGGACCGGGAAGGACGCACCACUGAUGUACCAGUUUUUGUGCCAACAGAAUACGCUGGGUAGUCAAGUGCGGAGUGGAUAACUGCUGAAAGCAUAUAAGUAGGAAGCCCACCUUAAGAUAAGUACUCUUCAUAGGUCACGGUAAGACGAACCGUUUGAUAGGUAUUAGGUGUACAAUUGGUAACAAUUUUAGCCGAGAUAUACUAACCGACCGAAAA
rnacentral:rRNA from 12 species